CCACACACUCAAGACUAUGCCGGCCAGACCGGUGAGCAUAACCUGACACUCUACGGAAGUACGCAAGCCCACGGGGAGCAGAGCAGCAACUCACCCAGCACACAAAAUGGAUCUCUUACGCAGACAGAAGGUGGAGCACAGACAGACGGCCAGCAGUCACAGACACAAAGUAGUGAAAAUUCAGAGAGUAAAUCUACCCCGAAACGGCUGCAUGUCUCUAAUAUUCCUUUCCGCUUCCGGGACCCUGACCUCCGGCAGAUGUUUGGGGUAAUUUGGCAAAAUCCUAGAUGUAGAAAUAAUCUUUAAUGAACGUGGCUCUAAGGGAUUCGGGUUCGUAACUUUCGAGAAUAGUGCUGAUGCAGACAGGGCCAGGGAGAAAUUACACGGCACCGUGGUAGAGGGCCGUAAAAUCGAGGUGAAUAAUGCUACAGCACGUGUAAUGACCAAUAAGAAGAUGGUCACACCAUAUGCAAAUGGUUGGAAAUUAAGCCCAGUAGUUGGAGCUGUAUAUGGUCCGGAGUUAUAUGCAGGUACAUCCAGCUUUCAAGCAGAUGUGUCCCUAGGCAAUGAUGCAGCAGUGCCCCUAUCAGGAAGAGGGGGUAUCAACACUUACAUUCCUUUAAUCAUUCCUGGCUUCCCUUACCCUACUGCAGCCACCACGGCAGCCGCUUUCAGAGGAGCCCAUUUGAGGGGCAGAGGGCGGACAGUAUAUGGUGCAGUCCGAGCGGUACCUCCAACAGCCAUCCCCGCCUAUCCAGGGUAAGCUGUGGUUUACCAGGACGGAUUUUACGGUGCUGACCUCUAUGUAAGGUGGAUAUGCAGCCUACAGAUAUGCACAGCCUGCUACUGCAACCGCAGCCACCGCUGCUGCAGCCGCUGCAGCCGCUUACAGUGACGGUUAUGGCAGGGUGUACACAGCCGACCCCUACCAUGCCCUUGCCCCUGCCGCUAGCUAUGGAGUUGGCGCUGUGGCGAGUUUAUACCGAGGUGGCUACAGCCGAUUUGCCCCCUACUGAAGUGACGUGAGACCCCUGCAAAUGGGACAGCCCCCCAGUUCAUGAGGCCUGGCUAUUGCAAUAUUUACUAGUAGAGGAACUCUAUAGCAAGAUGAAGAGGAAAAACAAACAAACAAACAAAAAAAAA
rnacentral:lncRNA from 1 species